GCUGCUCCGGCCUGCCCUUUAUAGCAGCGACCUGGAGCUCCUCGAGGUCGGAGAAGUCGUCGCCGAGUUCUAGGACAUAGUCCUGCCACUCCUCGCGGUCGGCGGGGGAGGUGACGAGCGCCGCGCCGGCAUCCACAGCGAAGAGCCUGAUGCGAGCGCCAUGGCUGCCCUUCCUGCUGCAGACUGCCCGCAAGCCCGGCGGCGUGCGCGGGUACGGGGAGUGUGGGAGCCGCAGUGGGUGCGGUGCGAAGGGAGGUGGCGGCGGCGAUCUGGAAGGGGAGUUUCGCGAGGACGCGUUGUGGGGAUGGGAUCUGAGCUAGGGUUUGUCCGGGUGGGGUAUCUCUUUU
rnacentral:lncRNA from 1 species